UUAAACAAAAACAAAAUAAUUGGACGUAUGAAAGGAUCAAGAAAGGUAGAUGUUCAACAUGAUUUUGCAUGUUCCCAUUCAAAAUGUUAGUAUAACAACAACCAAGAAGUGUAUAGUGACAGUUUCUCACAUAAUCCGACUUUUUGGUAAACAAUUAAGUGUUCCAUUACAUUUUUUCGUUGUAUGAGUUCAGACAAGGGAAUAUAUGGUUGAAUUCGCUAGGUUUUCCAUCUAGAUAAUGCAAAUCAACAAGUUAGCUGGAAAAACUGACACAAGUUCUUCUAUCUAGUAUCUACUAUUAUUGAAGUGCACAUUGACCCAGCAAGUCAAAAUUUGGACAUACCAUGAUAACAAAGCAACCAGACAAGUCUGCAAGCCAUGUAACCACAAGAAUGUUAAGGUCAGCCAUCUUUAUGAAACAAUAUACCUUCUGCAGUAAAAAAGUUCUUGCAAAAGAGAAAGAACACUGAAACGCAAUAUUUCAAAGUGAAAAAAGGAUUAUGAAACGAAUACAGAAAUAAAUACUUGUGCUAACCUCAACACCACCAAUGCAGAAGAGAACUACCAAAACCUCGAUAAACCAGAAUGACAUGAGUUUGUAUAGCAUAACUAAGAAACAUGAAGCCACCACAACAAACAGAACUGCAGAGGUGACGUUAAUGUUAACUAUGCUGCUAGCACAA
rnacentral:lncRNA from 1 species